AGUAAAAGUCGUAACAAGGUCUCCGUAGGUGAACCUGCGGAGGGAUCAUUACAAGUGACCCCGGUCUAACCACCGGGAUGUUCAUAACCCUUUGUUGUCCGACUCUGUUGCCUCCGGGGCGACCCUGCCUUCGGGCGGGGGCUCCGGGUGGACACUUCAAACUCUUGCGUAACUUUGCAGUCUGAGUAAACUUAAUUAAUAAAUUAAAACUUUUAACAACGGAUCUCUUGGUUCUGGCAUCGAUGAAGAACGCAGCGAAAUGCGAUAAGUAAUGUGAAUUGCAGAAUUCAGUGAAUCAUCGAAUCUUUGAACGCACAUUGCGCCCCCUGGUAUUCCGGGGGGCAUGCCUGUUCGAGCGUCAUUUCACCACUCAAGCCUCGCUUGGUAUUGGGCAACGCGGUCCGCCGCGUGCCUCAAAUCGACCGGCUGGGUCUUCUGUCCCCUAAGCGUUGUGGAAACUAUUCGCUAAAGGGUGCUCGGGAGGCUACGCCGUAAACAAACCCAUUUCUAAGGUUGACCUCGGAUCAGGUAGGGAUACCCGCUGAACUUAAGCAUAUCAAUAAGCGGAGGAAAAGAAACCAACAGGGAUUGCCCAGUAACG
rnacentral:rRNA from 1 species